UACGAAGGGGGCUAGCGUUGCUCGGAAUCACUGGGCGUAAGGCGCACGUAGGCGGAUCGUUAAGUCGGGGGUGAAAUCCUGGAGCUCAACUCCAGAACUGCCUUCGAUACUGGCGAUCUUCGAGUCCGGGAGAGGUGAGUGGAACUCCGAGUGUAGAGGUGAAAUUCGUAGAUAUUCGGAAGAACACCAGUGGCGAAGGCGGCUCACUGGCCCGGUACUGACGCUGAGGUGCGAAAGCGUGGGGAGCAAACAGG
rnacentral:rRNA from 1 species